rnacentral:lncRNA from 7 species
GCUAUGGAUGCGUAAUUAUCCUACGGAGCUCACAGUGUGCUCAAUUUAUAGAGUCCGUGAGAGGUGGCCGGUGAAUUGGACGAAGACGCGCGGAGGCCGGAGAGGAAGAGGGGCACUGGCGCAAGCGCUUAGUGGCUUUCACCGUGGCGGUCCUCCCGGAGAUCACCGGAUAUGCCUAACACGACUAACCGUGACGUGGUAAGAUGCCUGGGCACGUGGUGCAAGACCGCGAGGUGGCAAUCUCCGGUGAACCCAUCCGAAGCAAUCGUAACUAGCUCGGGUACGGUGGUCGGAGUAAUUUAGUGGCCGGACCAUAUCCACGGUGUGAUAUUUACUGACCCCGGCGCUAUCUAGUUGUUCUAAGUGCGAAUAACGAUGGCGAUAGCACGAAUCCGCGCGCGGAUCGUUGGCGGCGAGGGACUGAGCUGGCGAUCCGAUCGAGAUACUGUACCAUCAGAAAUGCAAUUCAGAGCCCAUGACAGCCCAACUUGUAGCGUCCAGAACACAUAUUUCUACAUAAGAACUUGCUAAUUCGCCAGUAGCAAACUUGUAGCCCUUCAUACUAGCUACAAUUAUGCUAUAGCAACAACCAUCAACCGAGCAACAAAUCUAGCUCAAAAUGGCUCUCAAACCUAGUUCUAGGCCAUUGUCAGUCUGAUUUCAGGGUUAUGCUCGACUGACAGACCAUCUUCAGGUCUGUUUUUCUCUUACUUUCAUGUAGCACUAGGGCUUACUUAAUAAAAAUUGUUCUCCUUACAUAGCUCUACAAGUUUGAUGUGUUGAUCUAG